rnacentral:lncRNA from 1 species
GCGGGUGGCCAGGGUCGGCCCGGGUUCUCCUGCGGGCCGUGGAGCGGCAUGCAACGUCCGCGUUAAACGCUCGCUGCCCCGCCGCGCUCCGUCCGGCCCGGUGACGCGCUGCGCCCGCUCCCUUCGUUCCCGGCUCGGUCACCGUAGGAUGCGGGGUUGUGCCGGUCCCGGCCCGUUGGCGGCUGACAUCGGCGCGGUGCCACAUCGCUGCGAGGCCGAAGUUAGCGAGCACCCAGCCGCGGGGUGGGGGCGGCUUGUGAGCAAAGUUUGUGUUCCAUCAGGCUGUAGCGGUGAGCAUCACACAGCUUAGCAUCGUGUAUCGUACAAAAUCGGCAAAGUUUUCUGUCGUCGUGUUUCUGUGUACAACCUUUAGUCUACGUGAAGUACUUGCGUUGGGGUAAUAUGGUCGUUAUAAACUGACAAGUCAUGGUGGUAAUGAAAAACAAACUGUCCAUCCAAGCAGGCUGCCAUCAGUGCUGUAGAACUCUGGCCCUUUAAGUGAGAUCUCACCUACAGUCACGUUCUGAUUUUUUGCCUUCCCUCCCUCCUAGCACGUAAUUUCAUUAUGAAGGUUGUGUCAUGGAACUUCGCUUUGAGACUCGUGGGGAAUGAACACGCACCAGAUUUUAGGAAGAAGCCAUUUCGUGCUGUGUGGCUUAAUGAAUUUACACACGGACAAAUGCUUGGAGAGCAGGUGACCAGAGCCGUAGGAAGAAGAAGCCCUGUUGACAUGAAGCAUCCUUGUGAAGCUAAUUAUCGGAGCAGCCAUUGAUUGGAGCAGGAGCAUCAGCAACUGAAUUAACAGGAUGUUGAACAACAGUGGCAGUGCCUUCCACUUUAAAAUAACAGUGCUGAGUUUCAGUAUGGACACUUGGGUUUCCAGGGGAGUUUUGGAUGGGAUGGUUUGUGCUUACACUUGUAUGUGUUUGCACAACCUACUUGUGCACAACCUUUCUAUUUGUAGAGACUUCUGCAGAAAACAAGUAGAAAGAGAAUAAGAAUCUUCUUGAUAAUAAAGCAUAUGAAUGCUUACA